GGCUGGUCCGAUGUAGUGGGUUAUCAGAAUUUACUAAUUUAGUGCCACUAAAGUUUGUAUACAAGCCCCCACUGCUAAAUUUGACUGGCAUUUA
rnacentral:Y_RNA from 1 species